UACGUAGGGGGCAAGCGUUGUCCGGAUUUAUUGGGCGUAAAGAGCGUGUAGGCGGCCUUACAGGUCAGCUGUGAAAACUCGAGGCUCAACCUCGAGACGUCGGUUGAAACCGUAAGGCUAGAGUCCGGAAGAGGAGAGUGGAAUUCCCGGUGUAGCGGUGAAAUGCGUAGAUAUCUGCAGGAACACCCGUGGCGAAAGCGGCGCGCUGGACCACUACUGACGCUGAGGAACGAAAGCUAGGGGAGCAAACAGG
rnacentral:rRNA from 1 species